rnacentral:rRNA from 1 species
UACGUAGGGUGCAAGCAUUAAUCGGAUUUAUUGGGCGUAAAGGGCGCGCAGGCGGUCUUCCAAGUCAGUGGUGAAAGCCCGGAGCUCAACUCCGGAACUGCCAUUGAAACUGUAAGACUUGAGGACGAGAGAGGUGAGUGGAAUUCCCAGUGUAGAGGUGAAAUUCGUAGAUAUUGGGAAGAACACCGGUGGCGAAGGCGGCUCACUGGCUCGUAUCUGACGCUCAGGCGCGACAGCGUGGGGAUCAAACAGG